AGAGGUUUAUGUUAAAAGUAAACCAUUGGCCUUCAAAGCCAACAACGAGAGUGCAAAUCCCUCAACCUCUG
rnacentral:tRNA from 1 species